GGCGUUGCCGGGACUGGAGAAUGGCGGCCACCAAGCCUGCGUUAGUAAGAGGCUUAGUAAGUUCUCUGCAGACUCUGAGCCAGUCCUGUAAUCCUUUGUUUUUUCUGGGUGCUAUAGCCGCCCGGCAUUCCUGGGUGGCUUGCUCGUAAACGAGCUGUUCUAUGAGCGGUGCUGCUUGCUCCGCAUCACCAAAUAUUCGUCUAGCAGUUUCUGUCAUUCUGGCUACGAAGUCUGAGAACGGUUCCUGAGGUCCUUGGAUGAUACGACACCGUUUCCAGAGCCGUGAUCACAGACUGUGAGGAUCCCAUGAGGGACCAAGAACGCCCAGCGGCUUAUCUACGUCCGUCUGACAAGACUUCUGAAUCCUCCUUGUCACCAAGGGGUCUCCGGAGGUGCUGAUGAGGUCUUUUUCCAGGGUUUCUGGCACCAAAUGUCCCACGCUACGUCUCGCCAGCAAGAAUGACGCAGGACACAAAGGAUUCUUCUGCAGAAAUAGCUUUAAUGCAUCUUGAGAGCGAGAGCACAAGCUUACAAUACGGAGACCCCGAGUGAGGGAAAGACCGUCCCUUAUAUAGGAAACUAUCCUCGCCUCGGACGUGUCACUCUCUGGCUGGUCGCUGCCAGAUGUGCCAGAUGACGUACCACAGCAUACGUGUCCCCCUGAGUGAGGAAUUUACCAGGCGCUUGCGUAUUGCCCUUUU
rnacentral:lncRNA from 1 species